rnacentral:sRNA from 1 species
UAGAUUCAAAUUCCUCCGUAGCUCUGGUCCUGACCAAUCGACCAGGCAAUCGACCACGCAAUCGACCACUUUGGUAGAUUCAUAUUCCUCCGUAGCUCUGGUCCUGACCAAUCGACCACGGAAUCGACCACUUGGUCUAUUGUCCUGCUAGCUUCUCCACUUUGGUCACUUUGCAUUCUUUUAGCUCCUUUGUUUGCUCCAUUUGCUCCAUUUUACUUCCAAAACUUUAAACUCCACUCAUGUACCUAAGAAAACCAAAUGCAAAUGCAAAU